rnacentral:misc_RNA from 1 species
GAUGAAGAACGCAGCGAAAUGCGAUAAGUAAUGUGAAUUGCAGAAUUCAGUGAAUCAUCGAAUCUUUGAACGCACAUUGCGCCCGUCAGUAUUCUGGCGGGCAUGCCUGUUCGAGCGUCAUUACGCCCCUCAAGUCCCCUGUGGACUUGGUGUUGGGGAUCGGCGAGGCUGGUUUUCCAGCACAGCCGUCCCUUAAAUUAAUUGGCGGUCUCGCCGUGGCCCUCCUCUGCGCAGUAGUAAAACACUCGCAACAGGAGCCCGGCGCGGUCCACUGCCGUAAAACCCCCCAACUUUUUAUAGUUGACCUCGAAUCAGGUAGGGUUACCCGCUGAACUUAAGCAUAUCAAUAAGCGGAGGA